AGUGAACGCUGGCGGCAGGCCUAACACAUGCAGGUCGAACGGCAGCACGAGAGAGCUUGCUCUCUUGGUGGCGAGUGGCGGACGGGUGAGUAAUACAUCGGAAUCUACCCUGUCGUGGGGGAUAACGUAGGGAAACUUACGCUAAUACCGCAUACGACCUACGGGUGAAAGCAGGGGAUCUUCGGACCUUGCGCGAUUGGAUGAGCCGAUGUCGGAUUAGCUAGUUGGCGGGGUAAAGGCCCACCAAGGCGACGAUCCGUAGCUGGUCUGAGGGGAUGAUCAGCCACACUGGAACUGAGACACAGUCCAGACUCCUACGGGAGGCAGCAGUGGGGAAUAUUGGACAAUGGGCGCAAGCCUGAUCCAGCCAUGCCGCGUGGGUGAAGAAGGCCUUCGGGUUGUAAAGCCCAUUUGUUGGGAAAGAAAAGCAUUCGGUUAAUACCCGAGUGUUCUGACGGUACCCAAAGAAUAAGCACCGGCUAACUUCGUGCCAGCCGCCGCAGUAACAC
rnacentral:rRNA from 1 species